GCAAACUGCCAUGGUCCCCGUCUUCCUCUCUCCCCCCUCCCCUUGUCCUUCUCCUUUCCUCUUUAAGGAGGUAUCUAAUAACUACUGCUGUUUUGCAUUGAAAUGAGUUAUUUUCUCAGGAGCUGGGCUGAGCGAGUCCUCCGGCUCCCUAUUUUAUCUCCUCUAAUAGAGUCUUACUGUACUUGAUGGGAUGUGCUCUGCAGCUGGGGAGAAUCCCAUUGUGGCAGGCACAGUGCGGUGUCUCUGCAUAAUAGUGGGACACUGCGAGGCCCCUCUUCAGCAAAGGUUGUGUUGGCCCCAGUGUUGCUGACUCUGUUUUGUUUUGCAGCUGUGUAAGGCUCCUAGGAGCUCAGUUCCCUUCAGAUCAAAUUCUGGCUGAUCUGUGGAAAUAUUCCCGAAUAAAAAUCAGUAUUUCCCUUUUGUGCUGUGGGGAAGGGGAGCUGUCGCAGCAGCACGUCCACCUAAGAAACCAGUGAUCACUUUGCAAAGCAAAAUACCUUGGACUUUACUGUCUGAUGCCUUGUGUUGUUCCACGCCUUCUCUGGGUGGUUAAAGAGCAGCCUGCUGUUCAUCCACAGGGUCUCCUGGCACAGCUGCUCUGUCUGCACAGAAAAAAGUGGUGAUGCCAUAACCCACAAAUCAAAGCGGGAAGAAAAGAACAAGUGUGAUUACAAGCCAUAGCAGGGUCAGGGGGAGGCUGGGAUCUGUGCACAAGAGAAGCUGAGGUAGCCCUCCUGGUUAAAUCUUUGGAUGAGUAAGAUCCCCUUUCUCCAUCCAAUUUAAUGUUUUAUUUGGGUUUCUGCACCUUUUCCUAGUAAUUAGGGGUCUCAGUAAGUGGAAUUUGCUUGUAAACAGCUUGUAGUACUUGUGGGCUUUUCUUUUGUUCUUUUAUUUAUUUAUUGUUUUAAAUGGAAGCAUGAGUGACAGGCUGAGCGACCGCAGAAGGACAAUUUGCAUGAUCUGUUCCAUCAAAUAGGGUAGAACAUGAACUUAACAAGGGAUGCUGGCAGCACAUUCCUGGCUGAACUUGUCAAAGGGUCUUGUAUUUCCCUGCUGUCAGAGCAAAUCUUUUGGCUGAUUGCUGGUCCUUGGUAAAUGAAAUCUGAAAGCACGUUGGGGCAUUCUGCAGUUCAGUGACCAUUAAUGAUCGCCAUUUGAAGUUCACUAAACUUCCGGUGAAUGGAUAGCAGCUAUAUAACCAGCAGGUUGAUGGCUGCAGAAUAAUAAUAUUUAAAAAAAAAUAAUCCCCUAUGUACCAUGAUGCUCACUAAGAAGAAGGUUGAUCCAGCCGUGCUCCUCCUCUGGGCCUCAGGAUGAAUAUAUCUCUUUCCCAUAGUUCUAGGCGCCUGGAUUUAGCAUGUUACGAGUUGGGAUUCGUCGUAACGGGGACAUGCAGGCAAGUGGCUGCUCUUCAGGAUGGACGUUCAUGUGUUGGGCUUCAGCAAAUACUGGUACUAGGUUGAGGGCUGGUGAGCAUCUGUGAAGUACCAGCACAAAGCUGAAGGCAGGAGGAGGAGGGAAGCUGCUGCAGUGAGGUGUUCCCCUGCCCAGCUCUCUGUAGGGUAGCAGGUUGAGCAUGUAGAAUGGGAGCACGUGGGUUGGGGUUGUCCUCCUCUACAGAUGAGUUACUCAGAAAGUAAGGCUCUGAGCUCCCUCAGAUCACACGGGGAGGGAAUGUGUGGGAGAAAUGUUUACCUUCCUCCAACCCCUCUAAUCUCUUAAAAAUCUGAAGUUUUUCUGACUCUUUAAUAUCUGAUGCCCUGUGAUACACAGGGUGGUUCCAGGGUCCCUGUGCCCCUCUGGGAAGUGACCCAGGUUGUAGAGGGAGCAAAGCAAGGACCUCUCCUGUCCUGAGGCUAAAGAGCUGCCUCCCUUGGGGCCUGCUCUUACCCGAAGGUAAGGAUCUUUCCAUGCCACUCACAGCUCCACUCUGGGGGUGCUUGUGGGGGAACCGCCCGUGUGAUUUCAUGAGAGAGGACUUUGAGCCUAGAAAAAUAAUUCUGGCCAAGCAGCUGGACCUAAUGGGACCUCAGUCUCCUUUGAGUGGUCUCCCAGUAUGAGACAAAUAAGGACAGACAGGUAUCUAGCCUCCCUGCUCUUCGCUGCGUAGCUCAGGUGGCCCCUUUUCUGCUCUCUCUGGCACAUUCCUGACAUAAAUACCUCCUAGGCUGAGUCUGCCUCUGACUUGAUCCAUGAAGUGAAGGUGCUGGGGGUGGUGGUGUGAAACUGCUAAUUUCUAGGUCAUGGAUAACACAAAGACUUGGAUGUUUCAGAUGUUAAGAAAACAGUUCAUGUGAGUGUAAAUGGGAUGUGUGACUGAGAGCCGUUUCCUGCAGGAUAGUCCCACCUGCUUCUGCUGUCUGUCAUUUGGGUCUCUGCUUGUGAGCAGUGAUACGAAGAGGACCCUACUGAGUUAGGGAACUGCUGCUGCAAAUACAAGUCAACGCAGAAGGGUGGGAUUACGUGAGAAGUGUGUGAAUGAGGCAGACCUGUUUGUGUACCAUUGUGUAACGUGAUAGCAACAAAGUAUGUUCCAGAUUCCCUCUGCCCAUGCACACACAGCGUUGGCUCCUCUUUGUCUCCGUUUUGUAUCAUCUGAAGAAACAGCCAUUGUCGGUGCUGCCUCUGCCAAAGUGCGGGAUGCUCCAGAGCUCAGCAGUCCCUCUUCCUCAGGUGGUGAGAUGGUCUUUCCCAGGGUUCAUUCUCCAAUAAACUCCUUCUUUGUCACUUCUGUGCUGCUGCAGCAGUUGAGGUGAGCACCCUGUGCCUCCAGGCCUUGUUCAGAAUAUCCAAGACUUGCCUCUCAGCCAAGCUGAAGAUGGGAAUAAGCCCCUGCUAGGUGCCACGCUUGUGUUGCCCCAGGCAAACCUUUUUGGAUUGAUUCGGCCACGCAGGUGGUGGUGAGCUCCACACCUGACUGCUGCAAUGGUGGCCACAGUGUCUUGGGAUCUGUGAAAAAGCCUUCUGUGGAGGACAAAAGGAGAAAAGCUGCCUGUGCACUUGACCGCAUUUGCUGAAGUUUUACCUUGCCCUAUGCCCCCCCGGCCUGCUAAUGCAUCCCUUCUGUCAAGCCUGAUCGGUGUUUGCUGACAUUUUUAAUGUCACUGAGCGAUCUUGUAUCUCUGGUGAACUGUCAGUGUAGAGCUGACUCGGGGCAGAGAGUUUAUCAUGUUCUUCACUUCGAUUAGCUCAGCCUUAUGGGAGGGCAGCAGAAAGCAGAGGAGGCUUUCUUUGAAUGCUGCAACAUUUCAGAUAUCCCCCUAAACCAUGUCGAUAGAGAGCCACCAUCCCAUCUGCCAGUUCUCCUUAUGUGCCUGUCAUGUGGAUCCACUGAGGCCCCGUGGGUUAGGACUGAGGUGCAGAACCUGAGCUACAUCGUUGGAGCUGGAUGUAAAUAGCAGAGUGCUCUUCAUGUCAGGAGUGGGGGGGACACCAGUGGAGAAAUACAUGCAGAAAGCAGAAGGCUGUGGGUCAAGAUCUAUGUGAAAAGGAAAACUGCUGCAGCUAACAAGCUACAACCAAGCUGCUGCCCCAAAAGCAUCAUCAGGGUAGCCUGGAUAAAUUCAUUACUGCUUAUUCUAACAUAAGGAUCAGCUCUCGUUCAUGCUCCCUUUGCUCUUUCGGGAGCCUCUGUGGUUUAUCGUUCCAGGUCCCGCUUGAGUUAGCGACAUGGUUGGUCCUGUGAUGGAUCCUCGCCCUGUGGGGACGGAGCCAGCGCUGCAUUAGGCUGAGGACACGGUGCCUGUGAUUGCAGGGUGACCAGGAGCCUGGGUCUUGCACUGUGUGAAAGAGCAAAUCAGUGUUUCCAGUUCUUCUCCCUUGAGUUAUUCUUGACUUGAGACCUCUGCCAUAUUCUUGCUUCAUUGUGUCUCUUCCAGUGCAUCGUAACCUGUCGGAGGGCUGGCAAAAAGGCACUUGUGGGCUCUGACUCUCAAAUUGGGUUGUGGAAGCUAUUUUUAACACUGUAUACGCUGUCCGGAUCUUCCAUUUCUUCUCUGGAUGUUAUGUGAUUAAAAGAUUAGAGGAGUGUUUUAUGUAACCACUAAAGGUUUGUUUUAUUCCUUGUGUUUCAAAUGAUAUUUUAUUAAUAUUUUAAAAAUACAAUCUUCAUACCCAUCACAGAGCUGCCCCUUUCUCAGGACAGCUGUCCUGGUCUGUUUGACCAUCUCUGGUUUCUGUUCACAGAGGGCAGCAUGUCUUUAGAUACAUUAAUAGCGGUUGCUUUAGAAGUGACAGAAAACCGGUCUUAGUUUGACAUCCUCCUGAAGUCCAGGAGAGCUUUUAUGAAAGGCAAGGGUUGAAUGAUGUGGGAGGGAGGGGAAAUGCAACUUUCCUUCUGUGAGCAUCACGAGGCAGAGUUGACGGAGCCUUGGGGAGCACAGCGUGGCUGUGCUGGGGGUGACAUGGCAGAGCUGGCCUUUUCCAGGCCCAGCCUUUAUUGAUCUGUAGAUACUGGUAGUUGGAAGCAAACUGUUAAUAUACAUGCACAAUUGUUUUAAGGUCACCUACCCACAUUGUGAAAUUUGACAGAGGAAGCAUGUAGUAGGAUGGUUGUUUUUUUUAAUAUUUGUCAACUAGAAAUAAACACAUCUUAAACAAACAAAGAUUUGCUAACA